UGCUCCUUGCACACGGUUUUUAGUCAGGCAACGAGCAAGACCCGUGCCCACAGUUGCCAGCAUACCCUCCGGGGUGAUGGGCACACUGUGGGGACCGCCGCUGCUAAAGCGGAGGAAGGUGCGGGCUACGGUAGGUCAGUAUGCCCCGAAUCAUCCGGGCUACACGCGGGCUACAAUGGUUGGGACAAUGGGCACCUACACCGAGAGGUGAUGGUAAUCUCCUAAACCCAGCCUUAGUUCGGAUUGAGGGCUGCAACUCG
rnacentral:rRNA from 1 species